rnacentral:rRNA from 1 species
GUCUACAGCCAUACCAUCCUGAACACGCCCGAUGUCUGAUCUUGGAAGCUAAGCAGGGUCGGGCCUGGUUAGCACUUGGAUGGGAGUUCUGCUUUGCCUGACACC